GACUGUGUGGCGUAGUGGAAGCGCGUCUGCUUUACACGCAGAAGGCCGCAGGUUCGAACCCUGCCACAGUCA
rnacentral:tRNA from 1 species